rnacentral:rRNA from 1 species
UUUCUUUACGCCGACCUCAGAGCAGGUGAGCGU